GCGGGAAAGGCACUAAAAAUUAAUCGGAAAAACCCCAUGAGUAAGAAACAUCUACUUUCAGUUUCGUUCGUUUAGUCUGUGCGUGGACGUGUAUACAAGUUCGUGGUGUGUGCUUGACGAUCGGUACCUAAACCGUGGUUACAUCCAUCAGCUUCUAUUGGGGUUUGUGAGAUUUUGUGGUGGACAACAGGUGAGAUCUUACUAUACUGAGUACGGAGUGGCUACACUAUGAGUUCACAAGUGAAACUCAGACGGUUCCUGUCGGAAUUGAUGGGCAACAAGCCGGUAACCGACGUACCUGGCAUCGAUCUGGAGGUUGGCAGGCGGUUACGGCAAGCAAAUAUCUAUUACGCUUACUCCUUGCUGGGACAGUUCUUGUUGUUCAGAAAAGACGGGAUGAGAUUCAUUGCGUGGCUGAAGACUGUCUCUGGCGCCAGUAAAGUGCAGCAGACCGAGUGCCAUCACGCUCUUAAAUCGUGGUGCGAUACGUUUCUGUGAAUGAACCAAUGGCGCGAUCAUCGAUUUGAGACAGCGGUGCAAUAGCUGGCUACUUUAUUUACUUUUUUUUUAAAAGAGAGAACCGCCGAUGGCAUUCACUUACAGAGCGGUGAAGACACCGAAGAUUUAUCAUUUCAAAAUGGGUAUAGUGAACUUUGAAAAGAGAGGCGAACAUCGCCUGUCAUUAAGGACAUUGAUUAAACUUUUUAACCUUUACAAUCUCUGUCUACACUGCAUUCGGGGACAUUUAGCGGACUGCAAGGAUGUCGUAAAGAAAAUAUAUAUAACUCUGGCGAGUAGAGUGUUGUAUUACCAAGGUCAGCCUUAAUGUUUAAUCGUCGCAUUUUAAACUCACACUUGAUGACUCAUAGUGUUAUCAUCGGUUGGUUUAAGAGGAGGGAUAUUUCCGCAUGUCUUUCUUUUGAGCAGUGUAGCCCAGGUCUGACCACGACCGCAAUGUAAAUAAAGAACCACCUGAGUUUUUAAUUAGCCGCUGAAGCCAUUUUAUAACAGCUUUUUGACCGACUUCUUACAUUUUUGCGCAAGAUACAAACAUAUAACUGUUGCUUUAGUUGACUGGAUUUCGGAUUGUAUCUCAGUUCAGUUUCUAUUAAUUGGUUGUACAGUAUUAGGGAUUGAAGUGCACAGACGAACAGACAGUACAACAGACUGAAAUAAAAGACUUCUUAACUUCAUGGGGAGCGCCUGUGUACUGACAUCAUUGGGGAAUUAAUCGUCGUUUACAGACAAAAAAUGACAUUUGUAAUUUUCUCGAUGAUUUUGGCACCUCGUUGCUGUACAUAGAUACUUAUACAUAUCGACAAUGCGCUCGUACAUUGAGACACUCAUUGACUGAAAGAUGGAUGGAGAGAGUUGAAGGCCGGGGGAGGGACAGAAAAGGAUGGGUCCACACAAGUCUAACAUGCCAGCUACUGAUACAUGUAAAUAUGUCCAUACAAUCCUGAAUGACUAUUAUAUGAAAUAGAAAUGUCUAUCACAAACCCAGCUAUUGUCAAAUAAUUUUAAUAACUGCAAAACGCAUAGCUCAAUGCGCUGUAUAUGAAAAACUACAAACAAGUCGAUUGUUAACCAUACGAUACACAUAAACAUGGAUGAAGCACUGAGUAGUCGGCGUAACAGUACUCUUGAUUAUACAAUUUUAGACAUGUCCAUUAUUCAUAUAAGUUAAAGUCUAAAAACAUGCAUGACUAGUUAGUACCAUAUGUAGACGUGUCUAUUACACGACUAAUUAAUGCCUUCAUUAUGUACACAUGUAUACAUGUAUUUAUGUAAUAUAUUCUUGUAGUAACUGCUAGUCAUUCGAUUUUGCUAAAUAAAAAUGGGCUGCCAAUGCA